rnacentral:lncRNA from 1 species
GUUAUUGAAUUUUGGUUUCGAAGUUGUCUGAGUAAAUGUGAUAUAUGUUGACACUGUUGGGCUAUUACCAAUAAGAAUUUUAAAGGAAAUCAUUUAUGACGAAAUGUCUCAUUUACCAAAGAAAAAAAGGAAAAAACAAAUGUUAAAGGAAAGACAGAAAGACUCUAAAGUACCUUUUCAUUUCUCUUUAAGUGACCUAACCUAACGGUAAAAUACCUUUUCUUGUCAUCACACGUGAUUGGGUUUUGUAACUAAUCUGAGGUAGUUGAGUCAAUUUUGGAUAAAUGAGUGUCGAGGUGAAACUUUAGUAUAAAUACGUGGUCUUCUUCACUCCAAAAUUUUGGUGUGUUGAUCUCUUGGCAUAACAACGUCAGUGCUAUGAUCAAGAAGUUCCUCCUCAAUAUGUCCAUGUAUCUUUACUCUUGACAAUUUUAAUCAUCUUGUUCUAAGACCGGAGUUGAGAGAGUCGUGUGGGGUCUGGAGGGAGAUGUGCACAUAUAUUUAAGUUAUGUAGUCGUUCUUAUUUCUCUGUAGUCAAUUCCAACAUGGAGUGAGUCAGCAAAGGCAGCUUCCUGAAUAAAAUUCAGCAACAAAUGUUUUAAUUUAUUAUCGACUAUGAAGCAUAUAUACUUCAUGUAAGGUAGAGUUAAUAUUGGAUACAUAUCAGAUACUGAUACACCUAAAUACUUCUUAGAUAUAUAUCUGAUUUGCAUAUCUAUCUUUUUUGUAAAUAUCGCAUACAUAUGUCCCAUUCAGUCUUUGGGAACUAAGUGGGAUAUUUUAAAAGCACGUUGCUCUAGCCCAAAACUAAAAUUAAAAAAACCCAACUUUAGAAUCAUGUAAUCUACAUUGUGUAAGAACAAAAAAACACCAAACUCUAGAAUCAUGUGAUCUUCUUUACACAAGUCUCCACAAAGCUAUAAACAAAAUAACCCACUUGAUAUCUUUAACAGUUCAACGAAGAAAUUCUUCGUUUAUCUUCAUUCUUCAUUCUUCUCCUUCUAAUCUUUUUCUUCUAUGAUUGGUUUGACUCUGAUGCAUCACCAACCUUGUCUGUUGUAUUUUAUUGACCAAUGUUUCAAUACCUGUGAUGUUGCCUCUUGUACUGUAUUUCAAUGUUAGUGUUAUAUUUUGUUUGUUGUCAUUAGCUUUUUAUGCUUUUAAGUGGAUUGUAUUUUAGUAUCUUUAUAUUAACUUACAUAUAUCCUGGAUUUUUUUGGUGAAAAAAUGUAUUCAUAUCCUAGUUUUUAAGAAAUUGACUAUUGUCAUAUUUGUAUUUCAUAUCCAUAUUUGUGUUUGUUUCAUAUAUUCUUGACCUCUUUUGUCACUCCUUUGUCAGAUAGCACUAUUCAAUACGGCCCUUAGCGUUAAGAACUUCAAAGCAGCUAUGGAAGUACCUGCAGCUCUUGGUCUGGAUCCAAAAAUUGCAAACUCAGGUGAAGCUUUUUAAUCACUCUUUAAAACAAUCCCAGCUAAACUUUAGUACUUUACCAUAUUGGUUGUAGUAGCUAAGUUGUUUGCAAUAUAUUGAAUGUUUUCCUUAACUUGGCAGUGCACCGAGUAGUUAACCAUGGCCUUGGUUCUAUUUUGUCAUCCUCACUACAGAGCGCAGUUCUGGAUGGAAUUUUUAAGAUAGGUCGUUUGCAGCUCUCAGAUACAUUUCUGAAUGUUGAAAACCCUAUUGGAUCUUCAAGACUUGCAAAACUAAGACAUAUAUUUGAUGAAGGGAAGAGCCUUCAACUUCAGUUCCCUGCUGAGGAUCUUGGUUUCAGGUUUUUCUUCUCAAAUUCAAUGCAUGCACUAAUUUUUGUCUUUUUUAUAUGUGUUUAGUGAGAGGAGUGCGUUAUAUAAACUCUUUAAACCCUAGAGGCUCAUUUAUUUUGUAAUUCUAUAUUAUUCUCAAUAAUAAAAUUGUUCUUCGACAUAGUUAAUAGUAAACCACUUAAAUAUGUGUCAUGAUUUUCUACUUUUAUGUUUUCCUGUGUUUGUAACUGGUGUGUGAAACUAUGUUCAUAAGUAAAUCUUCUUCAAUGGGGGAUCUGGUUUAAUGAUAGCUUAAUAAUACUCAUUUCAAUCUUAUCCAUGGGAAUUAGAUACUCUGAAGGGGCAAUUAUUCGUGACAAUAAUCUACUUGGUGGUCGAGAAGAACCUACAGGUCGUCGGAGACAGUACCUUCCUUCUGCAGAUCCAGGAUCAAGGCUGCCUCAUAUGAAUGUGAGAGUUUUAGCCAGUGAGGUACAGUGUCCCCAUUCCCCUCAUACUUCCCUCUACUGUUUUAGAAUUGAUCAAUCGUUCAAUUGUUGACUUUUCUUACAAAUCGUUCUUGCAUUUUAAAUCUCCUGAAUAUGAAAAUUUAAAAUGGUAUCAAACAUCAUUUAGUGAUCUGAAUGAUCUCUCUUCUUAAGUGUUUUUUUAUAUUUGCAUAUAUGAGAAAAUUGAACUGUUGCUAGAUUAAUGAGUGAUUUUGUGAAUGUCUAGUUUUGAUAAAAUCUGAAUUUUGAUAUAUUUUGCAAAUAAUUUCAAUAGUUUUGCCAGAAAAUGAAAUUUGCUAUAUUUGUAAGUAUUUUUAGCAUUUUUGCCCUUUAAAACAAUUUUCCUUAAAAAAGAGGGUAGGUGAGUUAUUUAGUGAAAAAUAAAGAUUAAAAGUGUUUUUUAAGAGAGAAUUUAAUUGAUAAAUGAAAUAUCCAAAGAUAUCCAAGAUCAAAGAAACCUGUGAGAUGUUAUACAAAAGACGUUUCCAAUUAGUAAUAAUGAAAAACUGUGCCAUAUAUCAUAUUAAAAAUGUAAAAUUUUAUAUUUAGGAUCAAAUUGAAACUAAACUCAGAUGAACUGUACCAUUUUGAAACAUAGGAACUAAAUUGAAUUCCAAGUCAAACUUAAUGGUCUAUAUGUGUAAUAUUUUUAAAACUUGACACUGGAUUCAAAACUUGUAGACCAAAAAAGAUAUUUUUCACAAUCUUUCAUUGACUGAACUAAAGAUUGUGUGUGUGCAGGAGAUUAUUUCAACGCUUGAUCUUGUAUCUGGAGAUAAAAUCGAAUUUCUUCUCAUAAUAGCCCCGCGAUCAGAGUCUUACCGUCUAGCUCACGCAGCUCUCAAGGUAGCGGAGGAAUUCAAAACGUCGGUUAAGGUUUGCAUUUUAUGGUCUGCAAAUACCACGAAGAUUGAAUCAAGCAGCAAGGAUCAACUAACUCCUUGGGAGAACUACAUUGAAGUUCAAGAAAUUCGGCAAUCGAUAACUUCACCGUCAUGGUGGGACGUCUGUAAGAUGACUGACAAAGGAGCGAUCCUAGUCCGGCCUGAUGAGCAUAUUGCUUGGAGGGUGAAGUCUGGUAUUUCUGGGGAUCCAAACACAGAAUUGAUAGGAGUUUUUACUACUCUUUUGAAGUGAGAUAUGUUUAGCUAAUUUUUUUUUUCUAUUCUUUUGGGGGCUUUACUUCAUGGUUGGUUUUAGAUCUUCAUCUUUCAUAGAAAGUGUACUACUUUUUGCCACUGGCGUAUUUUUUUGGGUUGGGACACAUUGUAGAAUGAAAUGUAUAUUACCACCCUUCAUAAAGUUUAAUAUUAUUACAUAUUAACUUUUAUAAUGAAAUAAAGAUUAUUAGUCAUACAAUUUGUAGACUUUAUGUCGGGAUAAUUGAUUGAAAGACUCAAUUUCCAAGUUUGGCUCAUUUCUUAAAUUUAAGAAUUUUGUUCUCUUACAUCAUGAUCUAGCAAUUUUAUAAUAUUUUUUUCUACCUUCGAUUUCUUUCUUUCUUUUGAGUCUGUUGCAUUUAUGAUCCAAAAAUUAGGCAAAAUAAAUCAAAUGACCACAUUUUUGAAAAAAAAUGUCAAAUUACCUUUGUGGACGUUAAAUUUGGGUGAAAUUGGAAACAUGUGUGCCACGUGGAAAAGAAUCACAAGCUUGCUCUCUCUCUCUCUUUCUCUCACAAAUCAGUUUUCUCACUCAAUCUCUCUUGCCUCUCCCUCUCUCAUUUCUCAAUC